rnacentral:tRNA from 1 species
GGCGGUUAAAAUUUUCACUUACAAUGAAAGACACCCUUUAGGGCGCUUUUAUAUCGGUAAAUAUUUAAU